GUAAAUCACUCUUCAGCAAAUGCAAAAGAACAGAAAUCAUAACAAAUUCUCUCAGACCACAGUGCAAUCAAGUUAGAACUCAGAAUUCAGAAACUAACUCAGAACUGCACAGCAUCAUGGAAACUGAA